rnacentral:rRNA from 1 species
CUACGGGAGGCAGCAGUGGGGAAUAUUGCACAAUGGGCGCAAGCCUGAUGCAGCCAUGCCGCGUGUAUGAAGAAGGCCUUCGGGUUGUAAAGUACUUUCAGCGGGGAGGAAGGGAGUAAAGUUAAUACCUUUGCUCAUUGACGUUACCCGCAGAAGAAGCACCGGCUAACUCCGUGCCAGCAGCCGCGGUAAUACGGAGGGGGCAAGCGUUAAUCGGAAUUACUGGGCGUAAAGCGCACGCAGGCGGUUUGUUAAGUCAGAUGUGAAAUCCCCGGGCUCAACCUGGGAACUGCAUCUGAUACUGGCAAGCUUGAGUCUCGUAGAGGGGGGUAGAAUUCCAGGUGUAGCGGUGAAAUGCGUAGAGAUCUGGAGGAAUACCGGUGGCGAAGGCGGCCCCUUGGACGAAGACUGACGCUCAGGUGCGAAAGCGUGGGGAGCAAACAGGAUUAGAUACCCCUGUAGUC